AGAACAAAACGAAUCCUGUGUUUUUUGGAUCCUUUUCUCAAGUCAGUGCCAGUGAUGCAGGGCUGUACUGGAUCUGUGGUCACCUACAAGUUUUCAGAUGGAUCAACAUCUCCUCAGGCAAGCAGGAAGGGAAAGAGAAUGUGAAGGCCACUCCUCUUCUUUUAAAGGAUAUGACCUUGAAGUUAUAUUAAAGGAUAUAACCUUGAAGUUGA